rnacentral:rRNA from 1 species
GACGAACGCUGGCGGCGUGCUUAACACAUGCAAGUCGAACGAUGAACUCCAGCUUGCUGGGGGGAUUAGUGGCGAACGGGUGAGUAACACGUGAGUAACCUGCCCUGGACUCUGGGAUAACCCCGAGAAAUCGGAGCUAAUACCGGACAGGAACUUUCCCCGCAUGGGGACUGGUGGAAAGGUUUUCGGUUUGGGAUAGACCCGCGGCCUAUCGGCUUGUUGGUGAGGUAAUGGCGCACCAAGGCGUCGACGGGUAGCCGGCCUGAGAGGGUGACCGGCCACACGGGGACUGAGACACGGCCCAGACUCCUACGGGAGGCAGCAGUGGGGAAUAUUGCACAAUGGGCGCAAGCCUGUUGCAGCAACGCCGCGUGCGGGAUGACGGCCUUCGGGUUGUAAACCGCUUUUAGUAAGGAAGAAGGGGAGCUUGCUCCUUGACGGUACUUGCAGAAAAAGGACCGGCUAACUACGUGCCAGCAGCCGCCGUAACAC